UACGUAGGUGGCAAGCGUUGUCCGGAUUUAUUGGGUUUAAAGGGUGCGUAGGCGGUCUUUUAAGUCAGUGCUGAAAUAUCCCGGCUUAACCGGGAGGGUGGCAUUGAUACUGAAGGACUUGAGUUCAGUCGAGGUAGGCGGAAUUGACGGUGUAGCGGUGAAAUGCUUAGAUAUCGUCAAGAACACCGAUAGUGUAGACAGCUUACUAGGCUGAAACUGGCGCUGAGGCACGAAAGUGUGGGGAUCAAACAGG
rnacentral:rRNA from 1 species